rnacentral:rRNA from 1 species
ACGUAGGGUGCGAGCGUUGUCCGGAAUUAUUGGGCGUAAAGAGCUUGUAGGCGGUCUAUUGCGUCGAAAGUGAAAACUCAGGGCUCAACCCUGAGCCUGCUCUCGAUACGGGUAGACUUGAGGGAUGUAGGGGAGAACGGAAUUCUUGGUGGAGCGGUGGAAUGCGCAGAUAUCAGGAGGAACACCGGUGGCGAAGGCGGUUCUCUGGACAUUUCCUGACGCUGAGAAGCGAAAGCGUGGGUAGCAAACAGGCUCAGAUACCCUGGUAGUCCACGCCGUAAACGGUGGGUACUAGGUGUGGGGGACAUUCCACGUUCUCCGUGCCGCAGCUAACGCAUUAAGUACCCCGCCUGGGGAGUACGGCCGCAAGGCUA